rnacentral:lncRNA from 1 species
UCCUCUCAGCAUAACUGUGUUGUCAAAGAUCUUUGUGUUUUUCCAUAUUUUCAAAUGUAUUAAUAUCAGUCUACUGUUAUUAGGGUACUUAUAGAUGAGCUACCUACAGUGUAAAAAAUGAUUAGUAUAGGAAGCAAGUUGCAACUGUUCUGGCAUUACACAUCAUUUAUCAAAAAUAUGUUCUCUUUUAGUCUUUCAGAUACCUUUACAGAGACUCAAAUCAUGAAUGCUACGAACGAAAAUAACAGCACGUGAUUCAAGUUAUAAACAAUAUGUUCUCUGACAUGUACCACCUGCUGUAGUAGUGUAGAUUGUAGAAAAUGAGCAGAUAGUAGUACAAUUCAGUUUCUUUCAAAAAUAUUUUGGUUUCAGACCAACAAUUCAAUUAUUUUUUGCAGAAGAAUGGCUUGUCUAAAAACACAGGGUGCUAGGAGCUUGGUGAAUAGGGGGUGCUAUAUCUAAAAUGCGGUGAAUAAAACGGAACAUGCGGUAAGAUAGGAGCUUAGUGAAUCAUUACUGUUGUAAUAAAGGAGCUACAAAAUUCUCAGAUAUAGGUCGGAAUGUUACUGUAAAAAGAUAGUAGAUUAAGGCAAGUAGAUUCAAAGAAAAUGUUUUGAUCGAACUAAAUAUAAAGCUUCUCCCAUUAGGUGGAUUGAUGAUAUUUACUUCAAUCAGAAUUAUCCGAGAGGAUUCAUCCAAAAUUCCAAAUACUACAAGAACUUGUGAUAGGGUGAUUAAUCACAUAAAGCCUAUAUGCACAUGGAAAGAAGUAUGCUCCAGACUGCAAUAUAGCAAAUUCAAUCUCCAUACUCUCAUAGAACUAAUGAUUACAUGUACUACUUUCCAGAAUAGAGUUUAGGCAUGUACGAUAACCAAUCAAGGUUCUUUAUGAAAGACACCAAUCAAGGUUCUGGAGGUGUUGGACAUCUGAUCGAAGCCUGACUACUUUGUUCUCUACGACCUGUUGAACAACGUCAGAUGGAAGAGUUUGCCUACAGAAGUCACACUUUCACGAAGUGUGUACAAAUCUAAAAGACAUAUAAGAUGUGCGAGUACAGUAGCGACAUUUAUCUAACUGACCUUUAAUUUGCCUUUGAUCAGUCCAAACCAAUGGUAUGGCAUGGUACUAGUAGUGCACUACUAAACAACCUACAAUCAAUAGAGCCAGAGAUUUUUUUUCCUAUAAAACCAAUAAAAAGUGCAGGUUUUAAGGAGAAAAAGACUUCUCUCCCAGAUAGAAAAAGAGCGGAGCUCAGUUUCCUCCUCUCCUUUCUGUGAUAAUUUUAAUUAGACCUAUAUGACCUUAAUAGCCCUUGAACACUCAUCAUUACCAUUAUGAGAAGUUCAAUCCUUAUUGUCAGUGUAUGUUCUUUAACACAAUAGCUGGGGUUAAACUAGGUGACUGUUUUUACUGAAUCAAGAACAGUAUUCUGAACGUACUUUAUUUUACUCUCACAAUCUAGGAUUUUUUUAAACAAUUGAUCAAAUACAUUGUCAAGGAGGACCUAAAAAUAAUAUGAAUGAACUUGCUCAGUAAAAUGGCAAGGAUUGCAUCUUACUGGGUAUGCUUUUCUUCUUCCAGAAUACAUCUGCACACUUGCAGGGUGCAAAACUUCACUUGUCUGAAUGGAAAAUACCUCCAGCAGAUUAUUGCACUUGAAAUGAAAAUAGCGAGAAGAGGUUUAUUCAUUGCUUCUAUGGUACGACUAGCAGCUCCUGAAACACAUAAUCAUGCAUCUUCAUUCUGAAGCACAUAAUCAUGCAUCUUCAUUCUGAAACACGUAAUCAUCCAAGGAGUAGCUGUUAGUCACACAAAUGCUAGUGUAACCUCAAGUUCAUUGGAUGUCAUUCUGAAUAAAGAGAAUAGGAGCAUGCCCAGCUAUAUCGUUCUGUCCAGUGUCUAUCAACAGAUCAAAAGUAGCAAUAAAUAGGUACUUAACCAUUCAUUACUCGACUGAAGCACAAUGUAAAAAAAAAUGAUAACCAAACCUGAAAAACUUCAGUGUACUGCAGGUGUAUGUAGUGCUUUCAUAGAGUUGACAAAGAGCUACGAAUGUACCAUGAAUUGGAAAUAGAAAACGUGAUCCUGCAUCCUAAUUUUUUUGUAGUUGCUACCAUAUCUCACUAGUGUUCUGGAUUGCACCUAGAGAAAAGUUCUGAAGCCUUCCACAGAUACCCUCAACAACUUCCGGUCAAAGUGAAAAUCCAUAAUUUUAUGACGACGAUUAAAGUUUAAGAAAAGUCACAUUUGUGUCCUUUAGCAAUAUGAGGUAACCGAAAGGUUCAAAUUUUGAUCAAUUCAAGGUAUGAUCAGCCCCAAUGGCAGUGCUUCGACUAACUGAACUAUCAACAAGGCAAUGAUAUUGUGCAUUGAGAUCACGGUUACUCGGGCUUAAAUGAUUUGUGCUUCUUAUUGGGGUGCCACCCUUCCCGGUUUCUUACUAUGCCUUCUUAUGCAGCAGAGCAGAUUCACAAUGAUUGGAUGGUCAACCUAAUACAGUAGCAACACCCCGAUUCGAUUCUAAGUUUAAAUGGCCGGACAUGGUACUUUUCAGUAGCAGGGGACAGUCCAAUUCAUUCAAAAUAGUGGAGCUCCAAGGAAAAAAGAUGGAGUUUAUUCAUAAUAAAGAAGAAACAUGGCUAUUUAUUAGAACAUGCAACAUAUGGGGACUCUAAACGGAGGAUUCAUCAGACACAAACUGCUGAAUGUAAACUAUUUAUUGAAAAUAGGAGCUUAGUAGGAGGACUGGGAGCAUUUGUAGGCUAGAUCUAAAGAGAAGCUCUUGAUUUGUCCUCAACAUCAAAUCCGGUGAAGGCCCAUACUAAAAUUUGUGCAGCCAAAUUGAAACGAGUAAACUUCAUGUAUGGAUGCAACAACCUGCGCCGAAUCUGAGAAAGGCCAAGACCUAGCACCAUAGCAGCCGCCGCAUCUGGCAAGUCAAUACGCCUAAGUUCCAUAGGGAAAGUAGAAUUCUAGAUUGGGAGAGACGGGAGGAGAAAUACAGGGGCAUAAAUCUUGGCAAUGCAUCAGAGUGUCGAGAGCUCACCGUGACGCCGUCGUAGACCGCUAUUGCCGGCGCAGAGCGGUGCAGCCCCGCAGCACUGCCUUGAGGAACCCAGAGAGUUCACCACACCGCCGAGGCCACCACUGCCACCGAGCACCACGGGAUGAAACUUCAACGCCAUCACCAACCACGGCACCGCCCAAGACCUAGGCAGCUACCCCACCCAUGGCGCCGCCGUGCGCCGCCGAUACUCCCGAUACGGUUCGCAACUCUUCUU